rnacentral:sRNA from 1 species
GCUGGGCAUGGUGGUGCGUGCCUGUGAUCCCAGCUACUUGGGAGGCUGAGGCAGGAGAAUCACUUGAACCCAGGAGGUGGAGGGUGCAGUGAGGUGAGACUGCACAGUUGCACUCCAGCCUGGGCAACAGAGUGAGACUCUGUCUCAA